CCCAGCCCAGCUCCCGGGCCGGCGGGGAAAGGGAAGGGGGAGCAGUCCCGGCUUCAACAGCGCGCGCUGCGGUGCUGCUGGCAGCAUCUGCUGGAGGCGGCAAGGCUGCCCCCUCCCUGCUCCCAGAGCGGGGGACAUGGUGGGUGAGCUGUGGUACACAGGGGGCAGAUCAGCCCGGCUCCACCAGGACUGGGAGGGAAUUGCGCAAAUUUGAGGACACACGGGGAGGAUGCAAGACAAACUUCAGCAGCCCCAAAGCCCUGUUCCGGAAAACACAGCCUUGCUUCCAGGGAAUCAUGGAAGGUACCAGAACAGUCAAGAGAUGGUAUUUGCAGUGUUCCUACUUGCAUCACCAGUCUGAACAUAGAACCUUUCGCAAAGGAAGCCUUGAGUUCACUUGGAGAAAAAACAAAAGCACAAGAACCCCGUUGUUUUACCCGAAAAAUUACAAACUUUGAUAUAGUGCCAGGGGUUGACAUCUGGUUAAAUAUCCCAUGUAAUUAUGUCUUGAGCAUCCAAGGCUUUUUGUAUUUUCCUCAAGACCAUUUUAGAGGCAGUUCCCUAAUGAACAUGUUCUUGUCUGUCUCGAGCAACAAACUCCGAUCAUCUGAGGGAACUUUGGCCAUAACAAGUGGGUACCGAUUUUGUUAUAAAUCUAAUUGCCAUGACAAAUUAGAUAAUUUGUUUAGUUACACCUCCCCCAACAUGCUUUUUAGGUAUGCUCCAGCAGUCAGGGGCCUUGAACAUUUUCUCUGUAAAAGGAGUACCAAUACCAUUACACACACGAGUUUAUCAGGCCAGGAGGAUCAGAAGGAUUUGGUAUAUGUCCUCUACAAGCUCUGUCUUCAAACCUGUGAGAUCAACUCAUGCUGGAUUUUUUAGGUUAUAUUGUAGAUAAAAUAUAUUUUGAGUUUAAAUAUGAAAAUACAAUAUUGCAGGAGCUCAGUUGCAGUACACUUAAUGUUGAGGAUUUUGGUAAAGCUAGUUUGAAGUGCAGCAUUGUCUUAGCCCUUCAAUAGCAGAAAAAUGACACAUGGUUCCUAUUACA
rnacentral:lncRNA from 1 species